CAGAGGUCUCGAGCGUUAGGCGGAAUCACUGGGCUUAAAGCGUGUGUAGGCGGAUCGUUAAGUACCUUGUGAAAUCCCACGGCUUAACCGUGGAACUGCUUGGUAUACUGGCGGUCUUGAGCCAGCUAGGGGCUACCGGAACAAAUGGUGGAGCGGUGAAAUGCGUAGAUAUCAUUUGGAACGCCAAUGGUGAAAACAGGUAGCUGGGGCUGUGCUGACGCUGAGACACGAAAGCCAGGGGAGCAAACGGGUUUAGAUACCCCGGUAGUCCUGGCCGUAAACGAUGUCGACUAGAUCGCAGUUCCUUCAACGGUAUUGCGGUCGAAGCAAAAGUGCUAAGUCGACCGCCUGGGAAGUACGGUCGCAAGGCUA
rnacentral:rRNA from 1 species